rnacentral:rRNA from 1 species
UACGAAGGGGGCUAGCGUUGUUCGGAAUUACUGGGCGUAAAGCGCGCGCAGGCGGUCCUUCAAGUCAGAGGUGAAAGCCCAGAGCUCAACUCUGGAACGGCCUUUGAGACUAGAGGACUUGGGUACGGGAGAGGUGAGUGGAAUUCCGAGUGUAGAGGUGAAAUUCGUAGAUAUUCGCAAAGAACACCAGUGGCGAAGGCGGCUCACUGGCCCGAUACUGACGCUGAGGCACGAAAGCGUGGGGAGCAAACAGGG